rnacentral:rRNA from 1 species
AGAGUUUGAUCAUGGCUCAGGAUGAACGCUGGCGGCGUGCCUAAUACAUGCAAGUCGAACGAAGAUGUACUUGAGUUUACUCGAGUGCUCUUAGUGGCGGACGGGUGAGUAACGCGUUGGUGACCCGCCCUAAAGAAGGGAACAACCUCGGGAAACUGAGGCUAAUACCCUAUGUGCUUCUAAUGAUUAGAUGCUUUUGAAGUAAAGGUUCUAUGGACGAAAGGCCAUAGCGCCGCUUUAGGAGGGGCCUGCGUACCAUCAGCUAGUUGGUAGGGUAAUGGCCUACCAAGGCGAUGACGGUUAGGGGACCUGAGAGGGUGACCCCCCACACUAGCACUGAAACACGGGCUAGACAUCUACGGAUGGCAGCAGUAGGGAAUCUUGCACAAUCGACGAAAGUCUGAUGCAGCAACGCCGCGUGUGCGAUGAAGGCCUUCGGGUUGUAAAGCACUUUUCUGAGGGAAGAGAAAGGACGGUACCUCAGGAAUAAGUCUCGGCUAACUACGUGCCAGCAGCCGCGGUAAUACGUAGGAGGCAAGCGUUAUCCGGAUUUAUUGGGCGUAAAGCGCGUGCAGGUGGUUUGGUAAGUUGGGUAUGAAAUCUCCUGGCUUAACUAGGAGAGGUUGCUCAAAACUGCCAGACUAGAGGACGAUAGAGGAAGGUGGAAUUCCCGGUGUAGUAGUGAAAUGCGUAGAUAUCGGGAGGAACACCAGUGGCGAAGGCGGCCUUCUGGGUCGUUCCUGACACUAAGACGCGAAAGUAUGGGUAGCAAACGGGAUUAGAAACCCCGGUAGUCCAUACCGUAAACGAUGUGAACUUGGUGUCGGUGGCGUAAUAGUCAUCGGUGCCGCAGUUAACGCGAUAAGUUCACCGCCUGGGGAGUACGAUCGCAAGGUUAAAACUCAAAGGAAUUGACGGGGACCCGCACAAGCAGCGGAGCGUGUGGUUUAAUUCGAUGCUACACGAAGAACCUUACCUGGGCUUGACAUAUAGGUGGUAGGGAUUCGAAAGAUGACCGACCCUUCGGGGAGCUUAUACAGGUGCUGCAUGGCUGUCGUC